AGAGUUUGAUCCUGGCUCAGAUUGAACGCUAGCGGCAUGCUUAACACAUGCAAGUCGAACGGUAACAGCGAGAGCUUGCUCUCGGCUGACGAGUGGCGGACGGGUGAGUAAUGCUUAGGAAUCUGCCCAGUAGCGGGGGACAACAUUCGGAAACGGAUGCUAAUACCGCAUACGCCCUACGGGGGAAAGCAGGGGAUCUUCGGACCUUGCACUAUUGGAUGAGCCUAAGUCAGAUUAGCUUGUUGGUGGGGUAAUGGCCUACCAAGGCUACGAUCUGUAGCUGGUCUGAGAGGACGAUCAGCCACACUGGAACUGAGACACGGUCCAGACUCCUACGGGAGGCAGCAGUGGGGAAUAUUGCACAAUGGGGGAAACCCUGAUGCAGCAAUGCCGCGUGUGUGAAGAAGGCCUGCGGGUUGUAAAGCACUUUCAGUAAGGAGGAAAAGUAUGUAGUUAAUAACUGCAUACCGUGACGUUACUUACAGAAGAAGCACCGGCUAACUCCGUGCCAGCAGCCGCGGUAAUACGGAGGGUGCGAGCGUUAAUCGGAAUUACUGGGCGUAAAGCGUGCGUAGGCGGCAUGGUCAGUCGGAUGUGAAAGCCCCGGGCUUAACCUGGGAAUUGCAUUCGAUACUGCCAAGCUAGAGUAUGUUAGAGGAAAGUGGAAUUCCCGGUGUAGCGGUGAAAUGCGUAGAUAUCGGGAGGAACAUCAGUGGCGAAGGCGACUUUCUGGAUCAAUACU
rnacentral:rRNA from 1 species